rnacentral:rRNA from 1 species
AUUGAACGCUGGCGGCAGGCCUAACACAUGCAAGUCGAACGAGUGGCGGACGGGUGAGUAAUGUCUGGGAAACUGCCUGCUGGAGGGGGAUAACUACUGGAAACGGUAGCUAAUACCGCAUACCAUCGGAUGUGCCCCGAUGGGAUUAGCUAGUAGGUGGGGUAACGGCUCACCUAGGCGACGAUCCCUAGCUGGUCUGAGAGGAUGACCAGCCACACUGGAACUGCGACACGGUCCAGACUCCUACGGGAGGCAGCAGUGGGGAAUAGUGCACAUGGGGCGCAAGCCUUAUGCAGCCAUGCCGCGUGUAGGAAGAAGGCCUUCGGGUUGUAAAGUACUUUCAGCGGGGAGGCGGUACCCGAAGAAGAAGCACCGGCUAACUACGUGCCAGCAGCCGCGGUAAUAC